rnacentral:rRNA from 1 species
GCCUACGGGGCGCAGCAGUAGGGAAUCUUCCACAAUGGGCGAAAGCCUGAUGGAGCAACGCCGCGUGGGUGAAGAAGGUCUUCGGAUCGUAAAACCCUGUUGUUAGAGAAGAAAGUGCGUGAGAGUAACUGUUCACGUUUCGACGGUAUCUAACCAGAAAGCCACGGCUAACUACGUGCCAGCAGCCGCGGUAAUACGUAGGUGGCAAGCGUUAUCCGAAUUUAUUGGGCGUAAAGAGAACGCAGGCGGCCUUUUAAGUCUGAUGUGAAAGCCUUCGGCUUAACCGGAGUAGUGCAUUGGAAACU